GCGGGUGUGGCGGAAUUGGUAGACGCACCAGAUUUAGGUUCUGGCGCCUAUGGCGUGGAGGUUCGAGUCCUCUCACCCGUACCA
rnacentral:tRNA from 1 species